rnacentral:rRNA from 2 species
GAACUGAAGAGUUUGAUCCUGGCUCAGAUUGAACGCUGGCGGCAUGCCUUACACAUGCAAGUCGAACGGCAGCACGGGAGCUUGCUCCUGGUGGCGAGUGGCGAACGGGUGAGUAAUAUAUCGGAACGUGCCCUAGAGUGGGGGAUAACUAGUCGAAAGAUUAGCUAAUACCGCAUACGAUCUAAGGAUGAAAGUGGGGGAUCGCAAGACCUCAUGCUCGUGGAGCGGCCGAUAUCUGAUUAGCUAGUUGGUGAGGUAAAGGCUCACCAAGGCGACGAUCAGUAGCUGGUCUGAGAGGACGACCAGCCACACUGGAACUGAGACACGGUCCAGACUCCUACGGGAGGCAGCAGUGGGGAAUUUUGGACAAUGGGCGCAAGCCUGAUCCAGCAAUGCCGCGUGAGUGAAGAAGGCCUUCGGGUUGUAAAGCUCUUUUGUCAGGGAAGAAACGGUAGAGGCUAAUAUCCUUUGCUAAUGACGGUACCUGAAGAAUAAGCACCGGCUAACUACGUGCCAGCAGCCGCGGUAAUACGUAGGGUGCAAGCGUUAAUCGGAAUUACUGGGCGUAAAGCGUGCGCAGGCGGUUGUGCAAGACAGAUGUGAAAUCCCCGGGCUCAACCUGGGAAUUGCAUUUGUGACUGCACGGCUAGAGUGUGUCAGAGGGGGGUAGAAUUCCACGUGUAGCAGUGAAAUGCGUAGAUAUGUGGAGGAAUACCGAUGGCGAAGGCAGCCCCCUGGGAUAACACUGACGCUCAUGCACGAAAGCGUGGGGAGCAAACAGGAUUAGAUACCCUGGUAGUCCACGCCCUAAACGAUGUCUACUAGUUGUCGGGUCUUAAUUGACUUGGUAACGCAGCUAACGCGUGAAGUAGACCGCCUGGGGAGUACGGUCGCAAGAUUAAAACUCAAAGGAAUUGACGGGGACCCGCACAAGCGGUGGAUGAUGUGGAUUAAUUCGAUGCAACGCGAAAAACCUUACCUACCCUUGACAUGUACGGAAUCCUGAAGAGAUUUGGGAGUGCUCGAAAGAGAGCCGUAACACAGGUGCUGCAUGGCUGUCGUCAGCUCGUGUCGUGAGAUGUUGGGUUAAGUCCCGCAACGAGCGCAACCCUUGUCAUUAGUUGCUACGAAAGGGCACUCUAAUGAGACUGCCGGUGACAAACCGGAGGAAGGUGGGGAUGACGUCAAGUCCUCAUGGCCCUUAUGGGUAGGGCUUCACACGUCAUACAAUGGUACAUACAGAGGGCUGCCAACCCGCGAGGGGGAGCUAAUCCCAGAAAGUGUAUCGUAGUCCGGAUUGGAGUCUGCAACUCGACUCCAUGAAGUUGGAAUCGCUAGUAAUCGCGGAUCAGCAUGUCGCGGUGAAUACGUUCCCGGGUCUUGUACACACCGCCCGUCACACCAUGGGAGCGGGUUCUGCCAGAAGUAGUUAGCCUAACCGCAAGGAGGGCGAUUACCACGGCAGGGUUCGUGACUGGGGUGAAGUCGUAACAAGGUAGCCGUAUCGGAAGGUGCGGCUGGAUCACCUCCUUU